GACGAACCGUGCGAACGUUGUUCGGAAAUCACUGGGCUUAAAAGGGUCGCGGUAGGCGGCGCGUCAAGUCAGGGGUGAAAUUCUUUCGGCUCAACCGGAAAAAGGUGCCCGUUCCUGAUACUGACGCGCUCGAGGGAGGUAGGGGCAGUGCGGGAACUUCCGGUGGAGCGGUGAAAUGACGCAGAUAUCAGGAGGAACACCGGUGGCGAAGGCGGGAUCUCUGGGCCGUACUA
rnacentral:rRNA from 1 species